rnacentral:rRNA from 1 species
AUACGGAGGAUCCGAGCGUUAUCCGGAUUUAUUGGGUUUAAAGGGUGCGCAGGCGGCCGUCCAAGUCCGGUGUUAAAUGUUCGGGCUCAACCCGAUCAUGCGCUGGAAACUGGGCGGCUUGAGUCCCGUAGGGGAUGCCGGAAUUCCAGGUGUAGGGGUGAAAUCUGUAGAUAUCUGGAAGAACACCGAUGGCGAAGGCAGGCAUCUGGCCGGAGACUGACGCUGAGGCGCGAAGGCGCGGGGAGCGAACAGGUUUAGAUACCCUGGUAGUCCGCGCAGUAAACGAUGCGCACCAGGUGUCGGGCGGCAGCGCCCGGUACCGGAGCUAACGCGAUGAGUGCGCCGCCUGGGGAGUAUGCCCGCAAGGGUGAAACUCAAAUGAAUUGUCGGGG